UAGUAACGGCGAGUGAAGCGGUAACAGCUCAAAUUUGAAAUCUGGCUCCCUGCGGAGUCCGAGUUGUAAUUUGUAGAAGAUGCUUUGGGUGCACGAUCCGGCCUAAGUGCCUUGGAACAGGACGUCGUAGAGGGUGAGAAUCCCGUAUGCGGCCGGUUUCGACGCCCGUGUAAAGCUCUUUCGACGAGUCGAGUUGUUUGGGAAUGCAGCUCAAAAUGGGUGGUAAAUUUCAUCUAAAGCUAAAUAUGGGCCAGAGACCGAUAGCGCACAAGUAGAGUGAUCGAAAGAUGAAAAGCACUUUGGAAAGAGAGUUAAACAGUACGUGAAAUUGUUGAAAGGGAAGCGCUUGCAACCAGACUUGGGCGUCGCUGAUCAUCCAAAGUUCUCUUUGGUGCACUCGACGACGCACAGGCCAGCAUCGGUUGGGGUGGUGGGAGAAAGACUGCAGGAACGUAGCUCUUUUCGGAGAGUGUUAUAGCCUGCGGUGCAAUACCGCCUACCGCGACCGAGGACCGCGCUUCGGCUAGGAUGCUGGCGUAAUGGUUGUAAGCGACCCGUCUUGAAACACGGACCAAGGAGUCUAACAUCUAUGCGAGUGUUUGGGUGCGAAACCCAUGCGCGAAAUGAAAGUGAACGUAGGUGAGAACCCUUUAAGGGGGCAUCAUCGACCGAUCCUGAUGUCUUCGGAUGGAUUUGAGUAAGAGCAUAGCUGUUGGGA
rnacentral:rRNA from 1 species